UACGAAGGGGGCAAGCGUUGUUCGGAAUCAUUGGGCGUAAAGCGCGUGUAGGCGGUCUGUUAAGUCGAUUGUGAAAUCCCUGGGCUCAACCGAGGAAGUGCAGUCGAAACUAACAAACUAGAAGAUGGUAGAGGAAGGUGGAAUUCCAGGUGUAGAGGUGAAAUUCGUAGAGAUGGGUAGGAACACCGGUGGCGAAGGCGGUCUUCUGGGACGUCCUUGACGCUGAGGCGCGAAAGCUGGGGGAGCGAACGGG
rnacentral:rRNA from 1 species